AAAAAUUCACGGUGGUGAAAUGGUGAAGGGUAACAGUGAAUUGCGAGUUCUCCCAGGGCGAGGCUCAUCCAUCAUCAUGCUGACCCCUGCGAUUUCCCCAAAUGCGGGAAACUCGACUGCAUAAUUUGUGGUAGUGGGGAACUGCGUUCGCGCUCUCCCCUG